GCAGCUGGCAGCUGGGCCGCCCCGCUCACCCCCGGGAUGAGCCUCGCAGCAUCCCGGGCAGGGGCAGGGGGUGCUCCCGGCUGCGCUGCUCGGCGCCGUGCAGGCCGAGGAAGGCGGUGUUUGGCGUGGGUUUAAAAUCGCAAAUAUUCUCAUGCCUCGGUCAUUAGCGGACAGCCCGCCGCUCAGACGGGACAUCGCUGCGGGGGCUCAGCCCUUCGACUGAUGGGUGAUUUCAUUGAUGCUCGUUCCUGGGAGGUCCGAUCGCUCUCUCUGCUCUCACCCAUCUGCCAUGUUCAUGGGACUCACGGGAGAUGUGCCUUUCACAGGCAUCGUCAACUCAUUCGCCGAUUUUCCAGCUGAUUUCAAAAGACUUGGGUCCCUUGGAGUUGCUUGUUCCCAAGAAAAGCAUUCCAGUGUUGGCUGUAACUGUGUGGAUGGAUGCUGUAGAACAUGCCACCUCCAGACUGACAGCUGCUCCAAACACAUGGGGACAUGAAAAUGUUGUCAUUGCCUUAGUGACUGUCUGGGCUGCUCUUUUUCCCUUUGGCUAAGCAGCCAAGAAGGGGUGAGUUUGGGCCAGGGACGGUCUCGUUUUGGCUGCAGAGCUGGAUUAGGGCUGAGGCUGGAGCUGGAGAAGAUGAAGCUUCCUCCACACGCACAGGCAGUGCUGCAGGUGGGUCACAAAGACCUGCAGCCAGGCAGAAGAUACAGCUGCAGUGGCAUCUGCCUCAUCCUGUGUGGCAUCAAAAACCCCACAGGACUCAGAAAACCACAUGGGGGGUUCUGUCUGUGCUGAAACCUGAGGGACCAUGGCCAUGCUGGGGCCAGCGCUUCUGUCUGAGCCAGUGACACUCUGGAUGUGGUGUCGGUGUCCCUGUGAUGGUUAGGGCUGACCACUUCUGCUUCUUGCUCUUUGGUCAUGAGUCCUGCAUACAGCCCUUCAUCAGGAAGUCAGAGAAAAGAGGAAGACCCUGUUCUGCAGAGUGUAUUUCCUACAGUGUUUCAAACAGGCUUGUGGAGAAGUCUGGAUUAUAUACUGGAAGUAUCCCUCUUUGAGGCAACAACCUGGAAAAAUAAAUAAUGGUGGCCUGUGCAAAUUGGAUUUAUGGAGCUUUAACUGUGCUGACCCAUGAAUUUUGAUAAAUACAUUUCUACUAUUAAUAAAGGCACUGAGCUGCUCAGCUAUUGAGGGAUGUCUAAAAGCUUUCUGGAUGAGCAGCUGCAAUGCACAUUUUGCUGUAUUGCUUUCCAUAAAUCCAUAGCUGGGAUCCUCCUGGCCAUGUGCAAAAGUCUCUGGAGAGAACAGAGCUGGCACAGUCUGCUGCUCUGUUUGAUCCUAGUGCAAGGAGUAAAAAAGUGGCACUGACUGGAAAACUCUCUCUUUUAACUAUCUUCAGCUAGAUCUUCAUUGAAUUGUGUCCCCCCAGCAGCCUGACUUGAAGUCACUCUGACAGGGGAAGGAAGAGUACAAUGAAGAACUGUACCCCAGGACUGGGGACCAAAACUCUGCUGUUAGAGUUGCACAGUUUCAGUCUUUUUACAGAACAGUCAGAUGAUGCUCCAGCACUGCAGGAGACUGCUGAAAGGAUAUUUGAUGUACUCUGUGGAACUUUGCACUGUGCAGCUCUCUGUGUUACUCACAAAUGGGAAAACAGAAGGUCAAUCCUUUCAGUGUAGAUAAAGAGAUAGGGAAAUAUUAUCUAAAACAGAGGAGGCUGGACUUAUACUGGCUAUUACAUCUCAGGAAGAAGAUGCUGGAGUCCUCCCUGAUGGUUUGCCAAAAUUGUAGGCUUGAUGUGCAGAAAAAAAGAAGCCAACAAAAUAUGUUGAUGUCAUCAGGAAGGGCUUGUAAAAUGAGAAAGAGAGACCUCCUGCCUGUUGUGUAACAGCUUGGUGCACCCAUAUCUGUGCAGGUCUGACCUCUGAUCAUAAAAUCCUAUACUCAUGGAACAAUUUGGGUAGGAAAGGACUUUUAGAGGUUGUCUAGUUCAUCCCCUGUGCCAUAGGCAGGGAUGGCUUCCGUUAGGUCAGGUUGCUCAGAGCCCCAUCUAACCUGGUUUUGAAAGUUUUCAGGGAUGGAGCACCCCAAUCUCUCUGAGUAACCUGUGCCAAUGUUUUACCACCUCCAUUGUGAAAAACUUCUUCCUUAUAUCUAAUCUAAAUCAAACCUCUUAGCUUGAAACCAUCACCCCUUGUCUUGUCACAACAGAACAUCUCAGGAUGUAAGAACACUGUGGGCUUCGAGCCCUGAGCAGGGCAACUGAGAUCAAAGGGAUGGGGGAGCUGCAAUAUGAGUGAGUUCUGGGGAGGUUGGGAUUUUUCUCUGGAGAAGGGGGAGAAAAACAUGCCAGCCCUACAAAAUCAUAAAGAGAAUGUGGACCUGGUGUAUGAUGAGAGUUAGAGGCCAUCGAUCAGUCUGGUAGAUUGACUUAAAAUGGAUAAAAAGGAUUUUAUUUGGAGCAGGUGGGAGAAUGAACUUCUGGAACUCACUACCACAGGAGGUUGUGGAAACAAAUAGGAUCAGCAGGUUUAUAAAAGGUAGAGCAAAUUCGUGAGCAGCAGACAGAUGCUGAAGGCAACAGACAGGAAUGCAGCCUCUGGAAUUGCUCUUACUGCUUGUGUGGGAGCUGGAGGAACACAACCAGAGCUGUGCCCUCCCCAGAUGGCAUCUCCUGCUGCUGAAAAACACAGAAAAACAACACACGGAGAGAGGAAGCGCUGAUGUCACCAGCAGAGCCUUGCCUAUCACCUCAUCUCCAAGCAAAAUCAGAUCUCCCAGGUGGUUGCUGUGUGGUAGGAAGACAGGGAAACCAGCAGGAAGAAAGAUUUUGCAUUUCUAUUCAAUUUCCAUCUUUGUAGUGAAAAUCUAAUCAAUGCUCAUUUUCUGUCUUCUACCACUUUUCCUUUUUUCCACUGGUGAAACAGCCAGUGGAGGAGGUGGGAGGAUUCAAAAAAGUUUGAAUUAAAGUGUAUUUCAAUCAUUCCUUAUUUUCAGACCGCUUGCCUGAAAAAAAAAAAUCCCCUUUACCUCAAAAACUGAUGGAAGCCACCUCCAAACAUCCAAUAUCUCUGGAAAAAGAGGGAAGGGGAUGGGUUCACAGAAAUCAGACCAUCUCCUGUGAUUAGCAGGGUAAAAGGAGGAAACCAAGGAACUACAAACCAGUUGGCUUCAAGUAAAAAAAAACAACAACAAACAGUGGGACUUUUAAUCGAAGAAGGAGAUGAGUAAUAAUCAUGGCCAUUGCCAAGAAUGAAUCCUUUCAGAUGAGUCUGUUUUCCUUCCGUGACAGAUUCCAGUUCUUUGUUUACCAUUAUUCUUUACUGUUCUGUCAUCAAUAACUUGUGUUGUAGUGGAGAAUGUCAUUAUUAAGUUCUCAAAUAUUCUUGAGCUGGAGGAGCUGCAAGCACUGGCUUAAAAUUCAAAAGGGUCCAGACAAAUCAGGGAGAUCAUUUCAGCAGGGAAAAUCUGACAUUUAGGAGAGUGCCUGUCCAAACACACAGCAAAGAAGCACAAGACCUGUUGGCUGCACCACUCCUGGGUUACACUAUUGCCAUAUUGAAUUCCAAUAUGUGAUGUAUAGAAAAGAACAGUUUGUAAAACACUCCACGAUUUCCCUCAUUCCAACAAGAGGAUCUCUCGACUGGUCUCCUGAGAUCAGCUUCCAGUGCAGAAUUAAUUCCCUGUCUUCCCACUGCUUGUUUGCUAGAUCCCCCUUGCUACUGGGAAGAUAGAAAAUUCAUGGAGAAUUCCUGUAAAACUCCCCUGGGAUGCUUGACCUCCUCCAGAAGUAUGUGUUUCUGUGUCCCUUUCCAGGACACACUCUGAAGGGACAUGACUAUCUAGCCAACAAAACAAGAUUAGAAUCCAACCCAUCUGGCCAAUGCUGUUUGCAGCCCCUCAGGAGACUGGUGGAAGUCCUGUGAUUGGGUAAGUCUUUACCACCAAGCUCAUUUCCUGAUGUCAUUUCAAUAAAAAUGAGCUCUGA